UACGUAGGGGGCAAGCGUUGUCCGGAUUUAUUGGGCGUAAAGAGCGUGUAGGCGGCCAGGUAGGUCCGCUGUGAAAACUCGAGGCUCAACCUCGAGACGUCGACGGAAACCAUCUGGCUAGAGUCCGGAAGAGGAGAGUGGAAUUCCUGGUGUAGCGGUGAAGUGCGCAGAUAUCAGGAAGAACACCAAUGGCGAAAGCAGCUCUCUGGGACGGUACUGACGCUGAGACGCGAAAGCGUGGGGAGCGAACAGG
rnacentral:rRNA from 1 species